ACGCACGCUGGCGGCGCGCCUAACACAUGCAAGUCGCACGAGCGAGAGAGAGCUUGCUUUCUCAAGCGAGUGGCGAACGGGUGAGUAACGCGUGAGGAACCUGCCUCAAAGAGGGGGACAACAGUUGGAAACGACUGCUAAUACCGCAUAAGCCCACAGGUCGGCAUCGACCAGAGGGAAAAGGAGCAAUCCGCUUUGAGAUGGCCUCGCGUCCGAUUAGCUAGUUGGUGAGGUAACGGCCCACCAAGGCAACGAUCGGUAGCCGGACUGAGAGGUUGAACGGCCACAUUGGGACUGAGACACGGCCCAGACUCCUACGGGAGGCAGCAGUGGGGAAUAUUGCACAAUGGGGGAAACCCUGAUGCAGCGACGCCGCGUGGAGGAAGAAGGUCUUCGGAUUGUAAACUCCUGUUGUUGAGGAAGAUAAUGACGGUACUCAACAAGGAAGUGACGGCUAACUACGUG
rnacentral:rRNA from 1 species